rnacentral:rRNA from 1 species
CCUACGGGAGGCAGCAGUAGGGAAUUUUCCACAAUGGGCGAAAGCCUGAUGGAGCAACGCCGCGUGCAGGAUGAAGGCCUUCGGGUUGUAAACUGCUUUUGUUAGUGACGAUUAUGACGGUAACUAACGAAUAAGGGUCUGCUAACUACGUGCCAGCAGCCGCGGUAAU